UGUUGGGGCUGGGUACAUGGACCAUGGUACAUGAAAACGAGAUUGGUAUCACCGGGCAGUACGACGCCACAGUACUCUAGAAGCUCGUCGGCUGUUCCCCAGUCCCCACGUUCUGGAUUCCGGCGAUUCGGCUGGCGGCUAGGCAAGGAAGGCGGCGCGGGUGCACUGCAGGCCACCAGGCGAGAUACCGGCGACGGCUAUGGACUCCUCCCUGGAACCAGUGAGCAGCUGAUGGAGCCGCGAAUGGUGAAGCAAGGGUGCAGACGUUGCGUACAAACCAUAUGGCAGGUCGGUUGACCUGGAUCCAUCUGUGGUGGGCAUCGCCGAAGCAGCAGGUGCCGGCGAGGGAGAAGGUGACGGGCAGACUGAUACCGCGCAGUGCAAUGUAAAUAUGAAUCAAGCAUCAACGGACUGGACUAAGAGAUAAUUAUUUCUGCCCAAAAGAUGCUGUACAUAUUUGCAUUGUGACAGUGGAGAAAAUGUCUGCUAGACUCUAUCUACUAGCGAGUGGAUUAAAAUACAGAUGUUUACCUUCACACAAACUGUCUCACAAUUCUAACAAACAUGGGCCUUCAUGCCCGUAGGCCAAGUGUGUAUGCAUCUCAAAGGCUGGUUAGCCUCUUCGACAUGCUUUCCCACAAGAAUGUCAAAUUAGCUUAGUUAAAAAAAUGACAAGGGUCUCAAAGUCAUAUCUGAUCAAAUUGAAGCAGACAUCAUCUCAGAUGAUAUGGUACUUUACAGUUAUCUUACAUCGUAAUAGCACCAUUGUUUAUGUUUUCCUUUGUAUAAUUGUAAACAGUGGUUUACUUUUCUAGUCAACAGAGCUUCACAUAUACAAUGACUUCUGAAAUCUUUUUGGAAAACAUAAAAGCAAUCCUUACAUAUGAAUUGCCCAGAAAUUCCAAGAUAUGGUAGUUACCAAUGCAGUUUACCUGAUAGGUAGAACCAAACUGCUUCUAACAUGUUCAUGAACAGGUUAUGUAUGCGAUAUUGCACCGCCAAGAGGGUUUUGAGCCCUUUAAGAGCCACCCUCGUUUCAAUGAAUUGCUUGAGAAUAUUUACACAUUAUGUCUUAUUGUACAACACUUCAUAAUUUUCUUUUCUCCAGAUUCUGUCCAUAUUCCAUCUUCCUGAAUUUGUCUGUUAGGUAUUCGAUUUUGAAUAGACAUGGACAAGAUUCUUGACCUCAUUAACAAACAUUACCGUUCAUGGCGUGGAGAAGGAAUGAAGUUAGGAUUUAUAUAUGAGCAAGAAAGUCAGCCUGAGGAAUUCUUCACUUUCCAUAUGUUUGGUGGCUUAUCCUAUCACUGAGGCUGCCUUAUCGCAUCAGUGUUAUUCUUGCAAAUCUCCAGCAUGGUCUACUGAUUUGGAAUGGGCGUUGUUUGUAUUUUCACCUUGUGUGAUCUACAUGCACAUGAGAACAGAGGUCUGACUUGUUUGAGAGCAUCCAUCAUUAUUUUCCAGUUUGGUCAGUCAAAGUUUAGUUACUCCAUGAUGUGCAUCAUUGAUUGUGAGGAUAACCAUAUAAUCAUUUUCUCAGGUGCUGGAAGAAUCUGAUUUAGAAUUCUGAUAUGAUUGGGUUCAGCAUUUGACUCAGUGUUUCUCUGAGCUUCAGGUUGUCGUAACUGCCGGCGACGAUGAGCAUAAAUAGGCGGCGAUACGAAUAUGAGGAGACGGAGAAGUGGUUGGUCAUGUGCGCCUGCUCACCCUGGGCUUGAAGAAGAGGUCAACGAGGUGUAGUGCUCAGAGCUUUCCAGAAUUUUCCGUGGCGUCGAUGGCCAAAGUGUACGACGUCAAGCUCGCAGUCAUCGAUCUGCUGCUUCCUGGCACGAUCCAGAGGGCGGUGACAUGGAGGGCAGAACUAGGCUUGGCUGACGGAGGAGCUUGGGUGCUCCGGCGGCGUGGUCGAUGAGGAAGAGGCGGCGGAGGACAAGCUCCCAUCGGGGAUGGAAACAAGAAUGUGGCGACGAGGCCAGGGCAGGAACGGGAGCGGCGUGGCCUUGUUCCCCGCGCCGGAACUAGCCCUAGCGCGGCCUUGCUCGAGCCCUUCGUUGGCGAGACGUGGCAGUAUGAUGGAGCUCUGCAUGGAGCAUGGCGAACCCUGCAGGAGACCUCCGACAGGUGUGGCGACCCCGCGGGAGCCCUCCGACGGCAAGCGGAGCGUGGGCGGACUGCUAGAAGGAUAGAGAAGAUUUGAGUUCAAUUUUCUAAUUUUUAGGCCUAAUUUAAGCGGUUUUGGAUGUGUGAAGGAGUUCUUUUUUUUUUUUUUUGCAAAAUCCUACUUGUACUGUUUACUGGGCUGCAUUACUCGACGCGUGGCAUCAGGCAGUGCGUCGUUUGGGCCAAGAAGACAUGCGGUCCAAGACAGUGGCGUUGGUCCGGGCGUUGUCAAACCAUCUGUGCCGGCAAUAGGGAGACGACUGGAUCGUACUCAAUGCUGUGGCUAGUGGGCCAUUGAACACUAUUCAGAAAUGGGAAUACUGAGAUCAAUACAUGACAACA